UAAGUUUGAUUUUAGCUUAAAAGUUUAAUUUAUAUUUUAUAUUAUAUGCAGAAUUUAAAUAUAGAAAUUUUUAAAUAAAAUUAAAAAUUAUGCAAUAAUUAAAUUUAUACAAUGAAUUAGAGUUUGAUAUAGAAAUAUAUUUGAGUAUUAGUUAAAUUUGUGCCAGCAACUGCGGUUAUACAAAUGAUACAAUUAAAUUUUAUUUGAUAAUAGUUAAUAGAAAUUUAUUAAUUAAAAGUUAAUUUUAUUAGGUGAAAUUAUAAAAUUAAAUAGGGUUAAAUAAUAUAAUUAUGAAACUAUGAAAUUAAUAAUUAAACUAGGAUUAGAUACCCUAUUAUUAAAAAUGUAAAAAAUAAUUAUCAAGGUAGUAAUUGUUAUGAUCAUGAAAUUUAAAAAAUUUGGCGGUAUUUUAAUCUUUUCAGAGGAACCUGUUCUAUAAUUGAUAAUCCACGAUUAAUUUUACUUAAUUUACAAGUUUAUAUAUCGUCGUAAAUUGAAUAUCUUUGUAGAGUAAUAAUAUUCAUGAUUUAAAAUUAUAAAAAAAAUCAGAUCAAGGUGUAGCAUACAAUUAAGGAGAAAUGGGUUACAAUAAAUUUAUUUAGUAUGGUUAUAAUAUUUAACAUUAUUAUAUAAAGUGGAUUUGAAAGUAAUAUAUUUAAGUUAAAAUAUAUGAUUAAAGUUUUAAAAUAUGCACAUAUUGCCCGUCACUUUCAUUGAAUAUUAAAAUGAAAUAAGUCGUAACAUAGUAGAUGUACUGGAAGGUGUAUCUAGAAUGA
rnacentral:ncRNA from 1 species